rnacentral:rRNA from 1 species
UACAGAGGGGGCAAGCGUUGUUCGGAAUUACUGGGCGUAAAGGGCGCGUAGGUGGCCUUCUAAGUCGAACGUGAAAUCCCUGGGCUCAACCCAGGAACUGCGUCCGAUACUGGAAGGCUUGAAUCCGGGAGAGGGAUGUGGAAUUCCAGGUGUAGCGGUGAAAUGCGUAGAUAUCUGGAGGAACAUCGGUGGCGAAGGCGGCAUCCUGGACCGGUAUUGACGCUGAGGCGCGAAAGCCAGGGGAGCAAACGGG